rnacentral:rRNA from 1 species
GCAUAUCUAAUAAAGCGGAGGAAAAGAAACCCAACAGAGAUUGCCCCUAGUAACGGCGAGUGAAGCGGCAACAGCUCAAAUUUGAAAUCUGGCGUCUUUGGCGUCCGAGUUGUAAUUUGCAGAGGGCGCUUUGGCAUUGGCAGCGGUCCAAGUUCCUUGGAACAGGACGUCACAGAGGGUGAGAAUCCCGUACGUGGUCGCUAGCCUUUACCGUGUAAAGCCCCUUCGACGAGUCGAGUUGUUUGGGAAUGCAGCUCUAAAUGGGAGGUAAAUUUCUUCUAAAGCUAAAUACUGGCCAGAGACCGAUAGCGCACAAGUAGAGUGAUCGAAAGAUGAAAAGCACUUUGGAAAGAGAGUUAAAAAGCACGUGAAAUUGUUGAAAGGGAAGCGCUUGCAGCCAGACUUGCCUGUAGUUGCUCAUCCGGGUUUUUACCCGGUGCACUCUUCUAUAGGCAGGCCAGCAUCAGUUUGGGCGGUUGGAUAAAGGUCUCUGUCACGUACCUCCUCUCGGGGAGAACUUAUAGGGGAGACGUAAUGCAACCAGCCUGGACUGAGGUCCGCGCAUCUGCUAGGAUGCUGGCGUAAUGGCUGUAAGCGGCCCGUCUUGAAACACGGACCAAGGAGUCUAACAUCUAUGCGAGUGUUUGGGUGUCAAGCCCGAGCGCGUAAUGAAAGUGAACGGAGGUGGGAACCUUUCGGGGUGCACCAUCGACCGAUCCUGAUGUCUUCGGAUGGAUUUGAGUAAGAGCAUAGCUGUUGGGACCCGAAAGAUGGUGAACUAUGCUUGAAUAGGGUGAAGCCAGAGGAAACUCUGGUGGAGGCUCGCAGCGGUUUCUGACGUGCAAAUCGAUCGUCAAAUUUGGGCAUAGGGGCGAAAGACUAAUCGAACUAUCUAGUAGCUGGUUCCUGCCGAAGU